rnacentral:misc_RNA from 1 species
AUGGAUUGCAGAAUAUUAUAAAUAAUGCCACUAAGCAUGAUGUCUCCUUGGAAAGUAUUACUGGAGAGAGUACCACAGGCUCUCAAAGGCGACUUCUUGAAGAUACUGAUUCCAAAGGGGCUCAAGUUGGAACAUCUGAAUCACAUGCCAAUGUAGAUACUGAAACUCAUGCAGCAACUGUGGAAAACAAAGAGGAACUGGAAGAGGAUGCAGAUGCAUCUUUUGAUAUAUUCAGGGAUGCAGAAGAUCUACCUGAUGAAUACAAUUAUGAUUAUGAUGAUUAUGU